CAAGAGUGGGGAUGGUGACCUGGUUGGACUAGAGUCUCUGAGUUUCUCUGAGGAUCUUUGAAACCAUCUGAGCCACUCCUA
rnacentral:snoRNA from 1 species